rnacentral:rRNA from 1 species
UACGUAGGGUGCAAGCGUUGUCCGGAAUUAUUGGGCGUAAAGAGCUCGUAGGCGGUUUGUCGCGUCUGCUGUGAAAACGCGAGGCUCAACCUCGCGCCUGCAGUGGGUACGGGCAGACUAGAGUGCGGUAGGGGAGAUUGGAAUUCCUGGUGUAGCGGUGGAAUGCGUAGAGAUGCGGAGGACACCGAUGGCGAAGGCAGCCCCCUGGGCUAACACUGACGCUGAGGAGCGAAGCGUGGGGAGCGAACAGG